GUAGACGUAAGCUCAGUGGUUAGAGCUCCCGUGUGUUGAUCUCGGGGUCCGCGGUUCAAGCCCGCGUCUACU
rnacentral:tRNA from 1 species